GGCCCUGUAGCCUAAUGGAUAUGGCGUCGCCCUCCUAAGGCGAAGGUUGUGGGUUCGAGUCCCAUCUGGGCCU